rnacentral:misc_RNA from 1 species
UUUCCGUAGGUGAACCUGCGGAAGGAUCAUUAAUGAAAUGCAAGGACGCUCUUUUUAGAGGUCCGACCCAAAUCAUUUUCCUUUACACUGUGCACAUUACUACUUUUCUACACCAUUUUUAUAUACACAUCAGUCUUAGGAAUGUAAUAUCAGUCUCGAAAGAGCACUAAAAGUAAUAAAACUUUCAGCAACGGAUCUCUUGGCUCUCGCAUCGAUGAAGAACGCAGC